rnacentral:rRNA from 1 species
UACAGAGGGUGCGAGCGUUAAUCGGAAUUACUGGGCGUAAAGCGCACGUAGGUGGCGACGUAAGUCGGGUGUGAAAGCCCCGGGCUCAACCUGGGAAUUGCAUUCGAGACUGCAUUGCUGGAGUACGGAAGAGGAAGGCGGAAUUCCCGGUGUAGCGGUGAAAUGCGCAGAUAUCAGGAGGAACACCGGUGGCGAAGGCGGAUCUCUGGGCCUUGCCUGACGCUGAGGCGCGAAAGCUAGGGGAGCGAACAGG